rnacentral:rRNA from 1 species
GACGAACGCUGGCGGCGUGCCUAACACAUGCAAGUCGAGCGAGAAUCUUAAUUUUGAUCCCUUCGGGGUGACGAAUUAAGAGGAAAGCGGCGGACGGGUGAGUAACGCGUGAGUAACCUGCCCUUAACUGUGGGAUAACACAUCGAAAGGUGUGCUAAUACCGCAUAACCCGAUAGUAUCGCAUGAUACAUUUGGCAAAGAUUUAUUGGUUAAGGAUGGACUCGCGUCUGAUUAGAUAGUUGGUGAGGUAACGGCCCACCUAGCCGACGAUGCCUAGGGGUUCUGAGAGGAAGGUCCCCCACACUGGAACUGAGACACGGUCCAGACUCCUACGGGAGGCAGCAGUGGGGAAUAUUGGGCAAUGGGCGAAAGCCUGACCCAGCGACGCCGCGUGAAGGAAGAAGAUCUUCGGAUUGUAAACUUCUGUCAACAGGGACGAAGAAAGUGACGGUACCUGUGGAGGAAGCCACGGCUAACUACGUG